AGCUGUUCCAUAAAGUGGAGAUUUCUCUGUUGAGAACUGCCCUGCAGAAAUCAAGCUGGCAUCAAAGCCUGGUCUUUUUAAUUCUGUUUCUUUCUGAGUUUUGCUGCAGCUCAUAAGUUAUAAUCAGAGGAAGGAAACGCCUGAGAGAUCUGAAGGUUUUAAUUGUUGUUGAGUGCAGAUGGUUUGGAUUACCGCACAGGAAUGGAGCUCAAGGAAGAGGGAAGUUUGGACACAGACACACACAGACAAGAGAAUACCAUGUGACAAAGGCAGAGAUUGGAAUGAUACAGCUGCAAGCCAGGGAUGCCAAGGAUUGCAGGUGAAGAGUCAAGGAAGGAUUCUACCCAGAGUUGCACGGCCUUAUUGACACCUUGAUUUGGGCUUCUAGACUCCAGAAUCAUGACAGAAUAAAUUUAUCUGUGUGGA